GAUGAACGCUGGCGGCGUGCCUAAUACAUGCAAGUCGAGCGAACAGACGAGGAGCUUGCUCCUCUGACGUUAGCGGCGGACGGGUGAGUAACACGUGGAUAACCUACCUAUAAGACUGGGAUAACUUCGGGAAACCGGAGCUAAUACCGGAUAAUAUAUUGAACCGCAUGGUUCAAUAGUGAAAGACGGUUUUGCUGUCACUUAUAGAUGGAUCCGCGCCGCAUUAGCUAGUUGGUAAGGUAACGGCUUACCAAGGCAACGAUGCGUAGCCGACCUGAGAGGGUGAUCGGCCACACGGGAGCUGAGACGCGGUCCAGACUCCGACGGGAGGCAGCAGUAGGGAAUCUUCCGCAAUGGGCGAAAGCUUGACGGAGCUACGCCGCGUGAGUGAUGAAGGUCUUCGGAUCGUAAAACUCUGUUAUUAGGGAAGAACAAAUGUGUAAGUAACUAUGCACGUCUUGACGGUACCUAAUCAGAAAGCCACGGCUAACUACGU
rnacentral:rRNA from 1 species